rnacentral:tmRNA from 3 species
GGGGGCGAGUCGGUUUCGACGGGGGUCAAUGACGCCCGUGGCGCAUGCCGAGGUGCCGGUGGCCUCGUAAAACACCGGUCGUAAAUAGCUGCCAACGAUACUGGCUACGCACUGGCCGCUUAAUCGCGGUCGGCGUCACGCCGCCGGAGCCUGAAACGGCGGGUCGUGAUGUCAUAAGGUCAGGCUUGUUCCCUCAGGCCGCCCGGUCAUGAGGGGAGACUCCUUAACCGGGCUCAUCUUCCGGUAUUCCUGUCCGUGGGAUCGCCGGCGGAGAAAUUAAACACGGACUAAGCAUGUAGGGCCGCGAGGCUGAUAGCUUCCGGACGCGGGUUCGACUCCCGCCGCCUCCACCA